GAUGAACGCUGGCGGCGUGCUUAACACAUGCAAGUCGAGCGAGUGAGUUCUUCGGAACGAUCUAGCGGCGGACGGGUGAGUAACACGUGGGCAACCUGCCUCAUGGAGGGGAAUAGCCUCCCGAAAGGGAGAUUAAUACCGCAUAAAAUUAUCGAGUGGCAUCACAUGAUAAUCAAAGGAGUAAUCCGCUAUGAGAUGGGCCCGCGGCGCAUUAGCUAGUUGGUGAGGUAACGGCUCACCAAGGCGACGAUGCGUAGCCGGCCUGAGAGGGUGAUCGGCCACGUUGGGACUGAGACACGGCCCAGACACCUACGGGAGGCAGCAGUGGGGAAUAUUGCACAAUGGGGGAAACCCUGAUGCAGCAACGCCGCGUGAGUGAUGAAGGUCUUCGGAUUGUAAAGCUCUGUCUUUGGGGACGAUAAUGACGGUACCCAAGGAGGAAGCCACGGCUAACUACGUGCCAGCCGCCGCGGUAA
rnacentral:rRNA from 1 species